rnacentral:misc_RNA from 1 species
GAAAUGCGAUAAGUAAUGUGAAUUGCAGAAUUCUGUGAAUCAUCGAAUCUUUGAACGCACCUUGCGCUCCUUGGUAUUCCUUGGAGCAUGCCUGUUUGAGUAUCAUGAAAUCUUCAAAGUAAAUCUUUUGUUAACUCAAUUGGUUUCUACUUUGGUAUUGGAGGUCUUUGCAGCUUCACACCUGCUCCUCUUUGUUCAUUAGCUGGAUCUCAGUGUUAUGCUUGGUUCCACUCGGCGUGAUAAGUUAUCUAUCGCUGAGGACACUGUAAAAGGUGGCCAAGGUAAAUGCAGAUGAGCCGCUUCUAAUAGUCCAUUGACUUGGACAAUACUUUUAUGAUCUGAUCUCAAAUCAGGUAGGACUACCCGCUGAACUUAAGC